UCCCUGGUAGUCCAGUGAUUAGGACUUACCACUUUCACUUUUAUGUGGUCCAGGUUCAAUCCCUGGUAGGGGAG
rnacentral:tRNA from 1 species